CCCUUAGAUGUUCUGGGCCGCACGCGUGCUACACUGAGUGGAUCAGCGGGUCAGGUUGCGCGAAAGCGUUUCCUAAUCUUUAAAUCCGCUCGUGAUGGGGAUUGACGGUUGCAAUUUUCUGUCAUGAACGAGGAAUACCUUGUAAGCGCGGGUCAUCAUCCCGCGCUGAAUACGUCCCUGCCCUUUGUACACACCGCCCGUCGCUCCUACCGAUUGAGUGGUCCGGUGAAUAAUUCGGACUGCAGCAGUGUUCAGUUCCUGAACGUUGCAGCGGAAAGUUUAGUGAACCUUAUCACUUAGAGGAAGGAGAAGUCGUAACA
rnacentral:rRNA from 1 species